rnacentral:rRNA from 1 species
GACGAACGCUGGCGGCGUGCUUAACACAUGCAAGUCGAGCGGUAAGGCCCUUCGGGGUACACGAGCGGCGAACGGGUGAGUAACACGUGGGUGAUCUGCCUCGCACUUCGGGAUAAGCCUGGGAAACUGGGUCUAAUACCGGAUAUGACCUGCUGUCGCAUGGCGGUGGGUGGAAAGAUUUAUCGGUGCGAGAUGGGCCCGCGGCCUAUCAGCUUGUUGGUGGGGUAAUGGCCUACCAAGGCGACGACGGGUAGCCGGCCUGAGAGGGCGACCGGCCACACUGGGACUGAGACACGGCCCAGACUCCUACGGGAGGCAGCAGUGGGGAAUAUUGCACAAUGGGCGAAAGCCUGAUGCAGCGACGCCGCGUGAGGGAUGACGGCCUUCGGGUUGUAAACCUCUUUCGACAGGGACGAAGCGUGAGUGACGGUACCUGUAGAAGAAGCACCGGCCAACUACGUG